CCUACGGGGGGCAGCAGUGGGGAAUAUUGCACAAUGGGGGAAACCCUGAUGCAGCGACGCCGCGUGGAGGAAGAAGGUCUUCGGAUUGUAAACUCCUGUUGUUGAGGAAGAUAAUGACGGUACUCAACAAGGAAGUGACGGCUAACUACGUGC
rnacentral:rRNA from 1 species